GAAUAGGAUGGUUUAUUUACAUUUACAAUAAACAGAAUUAUUAAUUAUUAUUAUUUAUCUCUCUCUGGGCUGUUAUAUAGUUCCAGCAAACAUGGAGUAAAGAAAAAGUAGACAGAGAGGUAAAUAAGUCUGUACACAACAACAUAUUUAUAAAGAAAUCAUGCUAAUAAAUUAAGUACAGAGAACUGAAUUAACCAAUACACUGGAGACCAAAGUUAUUUAAUUUGAUCAGUAUAACAUUGUUUGGUAACAUUUCAAUUAUGUGAGAGCAGUCCUAAAGAAUUGCCUGAAAUCCCAAUCAUAAAAUGGGUUUGGAGGAAGAACAUAGAUGCUAAUCUGGAUAUAUAUGAGUUAGGCUUUAUAACUACUAUUGGUAGUAUUGGUGGUAUCAAUAGUAAUGCUACUACUAGUGGUAAUACAGCAACUACUGCUGCUGAUACUGUCACUGCUACUACAACUUGUACUACUAGUACACAUGCUGAUACUACGUCUACGACUCUAACAGCUACUUAUACUACUACUACUUGUAGCCCAUAUUCAAUUAUGGCUAUAAUGAGUGUGAUCUGAAGCCCACAAACAUAAGGUAAUUCAUUUUAGCUGUUAUACUUUGCUAUAAAAUAAAUAAAUAGUACUAUUGGCGAUUAAAGGGUUAACUCCUCUGGGAUGAGUGACAGAUUGCUCUUAACUAAUGAGCUGCUCCAAAAUGGCGCAUUGUCCCAGCCACCUUGUCCAAUCAGCUGCUGCGAAACGGCGCAUUGUCCCGCCUACUCCGUCCGUCUCCGGUAGUGAAGGUCUCUUUCUGCCUGCGGCUCGAGCGGUACACACGCUAGCAAAACGGUGACGGACAAUUACAGAAACAGACGGUCGAGGCUUUGAAGCGGCGCCAUUACAUGCUCCAGCUUUGCCCUUGUGAGAUCGGCCAGGUUUUUGUACAGAGGACCGGUUAUUGAUGGCGAGCCAAACCCCUGGAAGAACUGCUUGAUUCAUCCCUGCGCGGUGCAGUGUGGUAGGCCAGCUGCAACAAAAAACAAAACCUAUCCACACCAUUUCACACUUGCUGCCCCUUUCCCAAACACACACACACUCCCUUGGAACCUUUGGACGUAUACUUACCUGAACUCUGACGGACUUGAUAUAACUUCACAUGCAGGAAGUGGACUUGAAGUGGAAUUGUAGGAUCCAUUCCUUCAAAUUAGUUUUUUUUGUUGUAGGACACUGGUUUAUUGUGGUUCACACAAUUUCUGUUUGAUUUUGCUGUUGAAACUGUGAAUUACUCUGAACUGUGACUUGGAAUAUGUGAUUAGAAGGGUGCACCCAGGUAAGAUUGGAUGUGACACUGUGAUUGUGGAAACAACGGUUGUUACUGAGAAACUGUGGUACCAGAACAAAAUACUUUUAUUUUUUCCAGAGAUUCAUUCAUUUUAUUUUCUAUAUUAUUUUUUCUAAAAAAAAUACAAGCCGGCAUUUGUAUUACUUUCA